GAUGAACGCUGGCGGCGUGCUUAACACAUGCAAGUCGAACGAAGCACCUUGAUUUGAUUCUUCGGAUGAAGAUCUUGGUGACUGAGUGGCGGACGGGUGAGUAACGCGUGGGUAACCUGCCUCAUACAGGGGGAUAACAGUUAGAAAUGACUGCUAAUACCGCAUAAGACCACAGCACCGCAUGGUGCAGGGGUAAAAACUCCGGUGGUAUGAGAUGGACCCGCGUCUGAUUAGGUAGUUGGUGGGGUAACGGCCUACCAAGCCGACGAUCAGUAGCCGACCUGAGAGGGUGACCGGCCACAUUGGGACUGAGACACGGCCCAAACUCCUACGGGAGGCAGCAGUGGGGAAUAUUGCACAAUGGGGGAAACCCUGAUGCAGCGACGCCGCGUGAGCGAUGAAGUAUUUCGGUAUGUAAAGCUCUAUCAGCAGGGAAGAAAAUGACGGUACCUGACUAAGAAGCACCGGCUAAAUACGUGCCAGCCGCCGCGGUAACAC
rnacentral:rRNA from 1 species